GCCGCCGGCGCUGCCGGCCCCGGGACCAUAAAAUGGCCGCGCCGCGCCCCGCCGUACCUCGGGCUCGCCCGCUCUCUCCUCCAUCAGCCUGGAGGCAGCGGCUUUUGGGAGGCGCGGAGGUGGCUCGGGUAAAAUGAAUGAAGUUAGAGGAGUGCGGGAGCGCAUGGCGGAGUGCUGGGGCCCGCCGGCCUCUCACCUCGCUCAAGUCGGGGUAAAGGUCUUUGCAAGAUUCAAAGAUUCCUUUUAGUCUUAAAAUCUUCUGUGACCUGAUCAUAUUCAAAUCCAAAAGUUGGAUUUUUGCAAAAUGUACAGCGUUGCCACGCCAACUAAAGUGAAAUUGCAAGUCAUGGCCUCAGCUAUUCCAAAGAAGAUUGACAGAGCUGUAGCAAGACAUCAGAGCUUUUCAGUGAUUCUCAGGAGACUGGAAUACAAGUCCCAGAGAUCUGUAAGAAGACAUUCACAUCUGUGUAGAAGUCCAGAGUGCUUUGAUCUUCUCAGUGUUUCUCCUCAAGAUGAGAAUGGCCUUCUGAGACAUUAUUUCCCACUGUUAGAAGGAUGUGGAUGUCCACUGCUAUUUUUGAAGAUGUAAUUUAUAUUCUUUAAUGAAGUUAUAUCCUAACAGCGCCAGUCCACAUGAAAUGCUGUUAUAUAUGCAUUAUCAGAUAGCAGAAGGUGUGCUUAGAAGUCUCAGACAAGAUGAAGUUUUCUCCAGAAUUAUAUUUCAAUUAGCCCCUAUGAAGUAAGAUACAAGAAGUGUUCAUGGUGUAGAGUGUGGCUCGGAUGCAGUCUGUAGAGAACUUUUUUUGACGUAAAGCAGUACGAGCCCUGAGACAGAGGAGGUUAAAUUAAGAGUUACCUUUGUGUGCCCAAAGUUAUACUGUAUAAGGACAUCUUAGUGGGAGAGGAUGUUCUAACUCACAGUGACUUUUGAGAUCUGUGGUAUUUGUUAACAAGCUGUACCAAUUUGUAAAGUGGCCUAUCACAAGCAUUUGUUUUAACUUUAAAGAUUCCCCAAGUUUUUAUGCUCUUUGAUAAAUGACAAUGUCGGUCAUUAAGUGUCUGUCUUUGAUUCAUUCCAGGCAUGCUUAAUUCUUAUCAUUAGCUGUCUGUAUAAAAACAAGAUGAAUCUGGUUACUCUUGGUGUGUUAUUCCUAAUGGAUACCAUUAGGUCCUGUUCUUCUUCAAGCAGAUGUAGCUGUUAAAAGUCGGAGGCCAAGAAGCUAAGAGAUAGCUGGGGCCAGGGAGUGGGUGCUACCAGUGUCACAAAUUAUUGGAGCCCCCUAUAACAACACAGUCCUUCACAGUAAAAUAUCAGUAGUACUGCUGUUGGUUUCAUCAAAAGCUAAGGGGAACUUAACAAUUACAAGCAUAACUGUUAUGUGACUGGCCUGCAGACUUUUACAGGAGUGGUUUAUGCUGUGUUUGGUCCAUUUGACGCUAAAAAUGCUUGAGAGCCGCUCGAGUAGUUAUUUGUAUUUUCGAGGAGCCUGAGGUUCACAUCAGCUUGCAAGCAUAUUGUGAACAUAUGUAAGCAUAUUACUCAGACAGUUUAGUUCUCAGAAGAAAGAUAAUGUUCCUUUUAAUAUUAUGAAGACAUUAAUCUCUAUUUCUUUUUGAGAAAACCUUGUAACUUGUGAUUAAAUUUGCUUACUUGAAUACAUGGAACUCUGUAAAUUUGUAUGUAAAUAAUCUAGAUCACAAGCACUGUUUUCUUUAUCUUCAAAUAAAAUAAAGAUAGAAAAACUAAACUGUUUCAAUCAGUUUGAAGAUAUCUGUACUUUGACCUAGGGUCUAUGGUUCCUAAAACAAUGUGAAACUUUUAACAGACUGUUUAAAUUAUGGUUACCAUAUGAGAACAUUAAAGUGGAGCUGACCUAUUA